rnacentral:rRNA from 1 species
CCUACGGGCGGCAGCAGUGGGGAAUCUUCCGCAAUGGACGAAAGUCUGACGGAGCAACGCCGCGUGAGUGAUGAAGGAUUUCGGUCUGUAAAGCUCUGUUGUUUAUGACGAACGUGCAGUGUGUGAACAAUGCAUUGCAAUGACGGUAGUAAACGAGGAAGCCACGGCUAACUACGUGCCAGCAGCCGCGGUAAUACGUAGGCGGCAAGCGUUGUCCGGAAUUAUUGGGCGUAAAGGGAGCGCAGGCGGGAAACUAAGCGGAUCUUAAAAGUGCGGGGCUCAACCCCGUAUGGCGCUGGAAACUGUUAGGCUUGAGUGCAGGAGAGGAAAGGGGAAUUCCCAGUGUAGCGGUGAAAUGCGUAGAUAUUGGGAGGAACACCAGUGGCGAAGGCGCCUUUCUGGACUGUGUCUGACGCUGAGAUGC